ensembl:lncRNA
AUGAGAACACUUCUUCACACGCUGCUUAGAAUUCUGUUCAGUACCUGUUUACCAAACGCAUUCCUUAGAAAGCACACCAUGGGACUCUUUCCUGGAGUGGGGCUUGUGUUUGUUGCUGUUGUCUGGCUCUCUUUUCCGAUGCCUCCAUCUUUAACUUUGGCAACCUCCAGACAGUCUGUGAAUAACGUCUUAGCGGUCCAAAUGGACUAGUUCCGCUCGGAUAAGCGAUGCCCGGCCACAACAAGGGGUUCUGUUUCAUGGUGCUUCCCAGGACAUGUUCUCCCUGAGCUUUUGCUAUUUAGUUAUUGGCAGCCUCGAAGACGCAGAAGUUCAGCCAGAGACCUCUGCGUCACACGGUUUGAUUGUGUUGCACAUGUUCAGACCCAUCACUAUGCAUUUCUGGGGGGAAAGUCAUAGUCAGCAGCAGUUCAACUUUAUUUUUUCUUGCCUUUUUUCUCAUUAAAAGGAAGAGGAUGGUUGUAGUACAUGAGAACAGUUCUGUGAAACAAAACUCAAAGCCUUCAGACUGAUUCAAAUUCAGAGUGAUUGUUUCAGCAUGUUAGCAGUCAUGCUCAUUUGGAUCAGGACAGAGAGGUGUGGUCUGUCAUCCAACCACAGACAGGACAGAAGACCAUUUCAUCUGUGAUUUUCAUGUGCACACCAGCGCCGUAUUGACCCAAAUGAGCAACUGCCUAUCUGUCGACGACAUUCAAAAACUUUUCUCUAACAUUCAGGAGUAAAAUAACUUUUCAUCAGCUUUCCUGUACACUGCAGUGAAGCUAAGUCCGGUGGCUGAGGCCAUUCAUUUGGUGAUUAUUAGGUACAAUACGGGCCGAAUGAGUUAGUAGUUUUCGUAAUGGGAUGCUAGGAAUGCUUUUAUUACCGGUGCAAAUGAACUGAACAGUGUAUCAGGGAUGUAAAAGCUGAUGGUACAUGGAAUAUGAACGAUUGUCAGUUGAAGAGGGGAAGGGAAAGCGUUACAAGCGCAUAAACAGGCCACAUAUUAAAAUAAACAUUGAAUGUCAAUAAAAAUAAAUUAUUCU